rnacentral:rRNA from 1 species
GAUGAACGCUGGCGGCGUGCCUAGUACAUGCAAGUCGAGCGAACAGACGAGGAGCUUGCUCCUCUGACGUUAGCGGCGGACGGGUAAGUAACACGUGGAUAACCUACCUAUAAGACUGGGAUAACUUCGGGAAACCGGAGCUAAUACCGGAUAAUAUAUUGAACCGCAUGGUUCAAUAGUGAAAGACGGUUUUGCUGUCACUUAUAGAUGGAUCCGCGCCGCAUUAGCUAGUUGGUAAGGUAACGGCUUACCAAGGCGACGAUGCGUAGCCGACCUGAGAGGGUGAUCGGCCACACUGGAACUGAGACACGGUCCAGACUCCUACGGGAGGCAGCAGUAGGGAAUCUUCCGCAAUGGGCGAAAGCCUGACGGAGCAACGCCGCGUGAGUGAUGAAGGUCUUCGGAUCGUAAAACUCUGUUAUUAGGGAAGAACAAAUGUGUAAGUAACUAUGCACGUCAUGACGGUACCUAAUCAGAAAGCCACGGCUAACUACGUG